GACGAACGCUGGCGGCGUGCUUAACACAUGCAAGUCGAACGGAAAGGCCCUGCUUUUGUGGGGUGCUCGAGUGGCGAACGGGUGAGUAACACGUGAGUAACCUGCCCUUGACUUUGGGAUAACUUCAGGAAACUGGGGCUAAUACCGGAUAGGAGCUCCUGCUGCAUGGUGGGGGUUGGAAAGUUUCGGCGGUUGGGGAUGGACUCGCGGCUUAUCAGCUUGUUGGUGGGGUAGUGGCUUACCAAGGCUUUGACGGGUAGCCGGCCUGGGAGGGUGACCGGCCACAAGAGGACUGAGGUACGGCGCAGACGCGUACGGGAGGCAGUGGGGGAGAACAUUGCACAAUGGGGGGAAGCGUGAUGCAGCGACGCCGGGUGCGGGAUGACGGCCUUCGGGUUGUAAACAGAUUUCGACUGUGACGAAGAGUGAGUGACGGUAAUGGGUAAAGAAGCACCGGCUAACUACGUG
rnacentral:rRNA from 1 species